rnacentral:lncRNA from 1 species
GCCUGGACUUGAGCUAGUCACUUUAUUUUCUGAGCUUCAGUUUCCUCACUGGAUGAGUAGGAAAGUCAUGCCUGUCUGGCUUAACUAGAGGGCCUGUGGUGAGGCAUAAACUGGAGAAGAAAAUCAAACCAUUUGGUGAACUGUCAAGCUCAAUUUCCCUCUUUAAGGAAGAAAGGAAAGUGUUUUCCUGGAUACUAGAUAUGCUGAGUUGGGACAGGAGCUAAGGACAGAGGUGAGGAAACCUGCAGACAACAGCGACAUGCUCCUCAUCUUUGAGUCCCAGCGAACCUUUCCACUGUGUGUGUGUGUGCGUAUAUCUGUGUAUAAGUGGUGGUGGGACAGAGGGUGGGUGAGUAGGAUGGUGGGAUGUUGGGAUUGCUGAGUGGGAAUAGGCAGUGGGAAUGUCAAAAGUAUUUUUGUUGUUGUUGUUUGAAACAGGAUCUCACUCUGUUCCCCAGGCUGGAAUGCAGUUACUGAUCACCUGCAGGCUUGAACUCCAGGGUUCAAGCGAUCCUCCUACUUCAGCCUCCUGAGCAGCUAAGGACUACAGGUGUG